AAAAUAAUCCUACCCUUUGUGAAUUUUGUUUGUUUGAAUAAUUUUUUUUUUUAAAAAAUUAUUGGAGUCUUUCCCUUUAGAGUUUGCUUUUGAGUUUGUAAAAGAAUUCGAAAACAUCUAAAGGGGAUGGUCAAUAAUUUUUUUGAAAAAAGACAUUUUUUAAAAUUAAACUUUUUGUAUUCAUUUGUCUAAAAAUUAUUUUUAUAAUAUAAAAACAACUUUUGACAAUGGAUCUCUUGGUUCUCGCAACGAUGAAGAACGCAGCAAAAUGCGAUAAGUAGUGUGAAUUGCAGAAUACGUGAAUCAUCGAAUCUUUGAACGCAUAUUGCACUUUUUUAGUUUACUAAAAAAGUAUGUCUGUUUGAGUAUCAGUAAAAUAUUCUCAUAAAAAUCAUUGUAUUUUUAUGGUUAUGAGUGUUUUACAACGAUACAAGUUGUUCACUUUAAAUUUUUUUUUAAUAUUGAAAUUUUUCUAAUUUUAAUAAUUAAAAUUGGAUAAAAUUUUCCCGUCAAAAGGAAUAACCUAAACAAUUUUAAACGAUUAAUUUUAGCAAAAUUUUCGUAAAAAAGGAAAAUUUUUAUUAAAAUAACUUGAUCUCAAAUCAGAUAAGAGUACCCGCUGAACUUAAGCAUAUCAAUAAGCGGAGGAAAAGAAACUAACAAGGAUUCCCUUAGUAACGGCGAGUGAAGCGGGAAGAGCUCAAAUUUGAAAUCUUCAAGGUUUUACCUUGACGAAUUGUAGUUUAAAGAAGUGUUUUCUGCUGAAGUUUUGGUAAAAGUUCUUUGGAAUAGGACAUCAUAGAGGGUGAGAAUCCCGUAUUUGACCAUUAUUUUCAGCUUUGUGAUACACUUUCAAAGAGUCGGAUUGUUUGGGAAUGCAGUCCAAAAUGGGUGGUAAAUUUCAUCUAAAGCUAAAUAUUGGCGAGAGACCGAUAGCGAACAAGUACCGUGAGGGAAAGAUGAAAAGAACUUUGAAAAGAGAGUUAAACAGUACGUGAAAUUGUCAAAAGGGAAGCGUUUGACACCAGUGUUGUUUUCUCGAAAAUCAAUUAAAAAUGGCUCGAUUUUGUAUUGUUGAGACCUUAAAAGCUCACUGUACAUUUUUCGUGCUUUUUUAAUGCACUUUUCGUUUAACAAGUCAACAUCAGUUUCUUUUGUUGUAAAAGGGUCAUUGGAAGGUGGCUUUCUUUUCGGAGAAAGUGUUUAUAGCCUUUGGCCUCUGCAAUCGGAGAGACUGAGGUCUGCAGCGUAGACUCUUCGGGGUUAGAUACAUUUGUGCUAAGUUAUAGCUUUUUAUAGACAACUUGUUGACUAUAAUUAGUCUUGUAGCUUACUCGCUUAUGCUAUUUUACCUA
rnacentral:misc_RNA from 1 species